GUCCUCACUGAUGCCUGAACGGCCAACAAAUUCAGCAACUGCGGCGGCCGCAGCAGCAACCGUGUCAAUGCGGCUGGGCAAACUUAGCUCGGUCGUCUCUACGGUCACAACUCUUGUGCAUGACCUCUCCGAAAGCCACUGCGCGAGGACUCUGGCUGCUUUCUUAUACCUUCAGACUUAUCAGGAGUUCGACGGUGUAACAUGCUGGAUGUAC
rnacentral:misc_RNA from 1 species